GAGAGUAAGCGCGCGGUUGCGAAAUUUGUCCCAUGAUUAACCUAAAGUUUAUUGUGAGUAUAGGUUUUGAGGAAAGUCCGGGCUUCCAUGAAGAUCAGGCUGCUGGAUAAUCCCCAGUGCGAGCGAUCGUGAGGAUAGUGCCACAGAAAGAUACCGCUUGUUGACAUAUUGUUUUGCAAUAUGUCAACAGGUAAGGGUGCAAAGGUGUGUUAAGAGCGCACCAGCAGAGUCGUGAGGCUCUGGCUCGGUAAACCCCAGUUGGAAGCAAGGCGAGAGGAUACAAGUGUUGCGAUCUUCAGUUGAUCUUGUGUCCGUUGCUUAAUGAUGUUGCUUGGUGAAAGCUGGGCGAUUUCUAUAUAAGUGUGUGCCGCAUGAGGUAUUUGGUAACAAAUAUCCCAGAUAGAUAACCGAUAAGGCAGUUGUUAAAACUCCUGAAACAGAACCCGGCUUAUGUCUUGCUCUUCCUA
rnacentral:RNase_P_RNA from 1 species